rnacentral:rRNA from 1 species
UACGGAGGAUGCGAGCGUUAUCCGGAUUUAUUGGGUUUAAAGGGUGCGUAGGCGGGUUAUCAAGUCAGCGGUAAAAUCGUGGAGCUCAACUCCAUCCAGCCGUUGAAACUGAUGAUCUUGAGUGGGCGAGAAGUAUGCGGAAUGCGUGGUGUAGCGGUGAAAUGCAUGGAUAUCACGCAGAACUCCGAUUGCGAAGGCAGCAUACCGGCGCCCGACUGACGCUGAAGCACGAAAGCGUGGGUAUCGAACAGG